rnacentral:rRNA from 1 species
AUACGAGGGGUGCAAGCGUUAAUCGGAAUUACUGGGCGUAAAGCGUUCGUAGGCGGUUUGUUAAGCAAGAUGUGAAAGCCCUGGGCUCAACCUGGGAACUGCAUUUUGAACUGGCAAACUAGAAUACUGUAGGGGGUGGUGGAAUUUCCAGUGUAGCGGUGAAAUGCGUAGAGAUUGGAAGGAACAUCAGUGGCGAAGGCGGCCACCUGGACAGAUAUUGACGCUGAGGAACGAAAGCGUGGGGAGCGAACAGGAUUAGAUACCCCGGUAGUCC